AAUUCGAUUGAGUUUGAUCAUGGCUCAGAACGAACGCUGGCGGCAUGCCUAACACAUGCAAGUCGAACGAGACCUUCGGGUCUAGUGGCGCACGGGUGCGUAACGCGUGGGAAUCUGCCCUUAGGUACGGAAUAACAGUGAGAAAUUACUGCUAAUACCGUAUGAUGUCUUCGGACCAAAGAUUUAUCGCCUAGGGAUGAGCCCGCGUUGGAUUAGCUAGUUGGUGGGGUAAAGGCCUACCAAGGCGACGAUCCAUAGCUGGUCUGAGAGGAUGAUCAGCCACACUGGGACCGAGACACGGCCCAGACUCCUACGGGAGGCAGCAGUGGGGAAUAUUGGACAAUGGGCGAAAGCCUGAUCCAGCAAUGCCGCGUGAGUGAAGAAGGCCUUCGGGUUGUAAAGCUCUUUUACCCGGGAAGAUAAUGACUGUACCGGGAGAAUAAGCCCCGGCUAACUCCGUGCCAGCAGCCGCGGUAAUACGGAGGGGGCUAGCGUUGUUCGGAAUUACUGGGCGUAAAGCGUACGUAGGCGGCUUUUUAAGUCAGAGGUGAAAUCCCGGUGCUCAACACCGGAACUGCCUUUGAGACUGGAUCGCUUGAUCACGGGAGAGGUUAGUGGAAUUCCGAGUGUAGAGGUGAAAUUCGUAGAUAUUCGGAAGAACACCAGUGGCGAAGGCGGCUAACUGGACCGUUGAUGACGCUGAGGUACGAAAGCGUGGGGAGCAAACAGGAUUAGAUACCCUGGUAGUCCACGCCGUAAACGAUGAGAACUAGCUGUCGGGGCUCUUAGAGCUUCGGUGGC
rnacentral:rRNA from 1 species